UACGUAGGGACCAAGCGUUGUUCGGAUUUACUGGGCGUAAAGGGCGCGUAGGCGGUGUGUCAAGUCAGGCGUGAAAGCCCCGGGCUCAACCUGGGAACCGCGCUUGAGACUGGCACGCUAGAGUUCGGGAGAGGAUGGUGGAAUUCCCAGUGUAGAGGUGAAAUUCGUAGAUAUUGGGAAGAACACCGAUGGCGAAGGCAGCCAUCUGGACCGACACUGACGCUGAGGCGCGAAAGCGUGGGGAGCAAACAGG
rnacentral:rRNA from 1 species